UGACCAGACCUGGGAUUGAACCCGGGCCACUGCAGUUGGAAGCCAGCGACUAACCGCUUGAGCUAUGGCGCAACCCUUCCUAAAGCAUCCUUUUGUUGCUGUUGUCAGUUCUUGUGGUUCCUUGUAUUCAAGGAUAAUUCUUCCCUGUGUUUUGGAAUCAGUAUUUGUGUGCCAUCUCCAUUGUAUGAGCUGUGAGGCAGUGUUAAGCUGUUCUUUCUACACGUGCUCAAAUGUGGACAAGAACGUUUAGUUUUUCCCUCACUUUAUUGUUUCUGCUUGAGAUGUGUAAUCCUUGCACUGGUACUCAGUUGAGUUUAAAUUUUACAUUAAAUGUGAGACAGCCAAUAAAUUUGUUGCCAUACUGUUAACUCCAAAAUUUCAAACCAUAAAAAAUAAUACUUGGAGGUUCUUUUCAGAGAGAAUACAUAUGUCUGAUUUUUUUAGUCUGGCUCUUGAUUUGCAGAACAGUACUUUAGGAUUAUAAUUGCUCCCUCACAUUUCUGUGUUUGAAAUGAGCUAAAUGUUUAAUAGGUAUCUGUUUGUUAUUCUUUUAUAUGUACUUCUACCUGGAAGAAAGUGUUCUAACCUCUGUACCAUCCAGACUGUGACUAAUGCCCGGAAAAUUUAAAAAUUCUUGAAAAGUUUUACAGAUUUUUAUCCUGUAUGUUUUCUUCUUGGAUACUGACUGCAACAAUAGAGAGGAGAGGAAAAACAAUAUUUAUUUUUGCUGAUCUCCCAGUAGUGAGAGAUGUGCUCAGAAAAUACAGCUGUUGUCAUUAAAGCCUUGGCUUUCGAAACUGAAAAGCCCAAAACAUGAAGCUGGGAUGAAAUCUAAGAUUUGAGGUUAUCAAAGCAGUGAAUGGAGAUUACAGUCUUCUGGCAUGUGACGUCAUAUACCAAACUGCGAUGUUACCAGGAACCUGGAAGAAGCUGCUGCCUCCAUCUUCAGGUUUCUCCACCUACCAGACUACAUGGGGGCACAUCUCAGAAAACCCCUUUUGUUAAAACAACCAUAAGGAUGAAUGUUUAAAAUGAAGCUUCUUGUAUUGUGA